AUGGACGAGGUCAGAAACAGAAUCCGGAAAGCCCAGCCAGAUGAGAGGCGGGGAGGAACCAGUUUCCGUAGCUCAUCCAGCGGCAGGCAGGGCAGCCACAACUGGAGAGUGGACCGGAAGUGGAGAAGGAGGAGGCCAGCGCCACCAGAAGCCGGGUGGCCCUGAUUGCAGGCCUCUACGGAGGAGAGCAGUUCCUUAACGAAGAGCCCUCCCUCCAUUCCUAGAAGUCUGAGGGACUGGUGGGCCUCCAGAGUGCCCACCGCGCACGGCGACUGUCCCCAGUCCUGGAGCAUUGCCGGCCUCCGGCGCUUGAGACAGGUGGAGGUGACCGAGACACCCGUGCUGCGGAGGCCUGGGGCUGGGCCGAGGGCGGGGGCAGAGGACAGGUAGAUCUGGGGCAUUUGAGGGUUGCUUCCUUCCGGUCACGCGAAGCCUGGAGAUGAAAUGGAUCCGUGAUUCAAUUAUCCGUAUACUUACUUCUGUUUUGCAUGGAGAAUGGGGUACUUGCCUCUGUCCUCUGCCUGGGAGCUGAGGAAGAGGGGGCAGACUGGACUGCCCUGGACCUAACAGUUCAUUCGUGGUGAGUUCGGGGCAGUGCUUCCCGGAGCAGCCUCAGGAUCCCCUCAUCUGUAGCUGGGCAGGUAAGCUCUGUGGGAUGGGCCUCUUAUCCUCCCGGGUAGGGAGGUGAAUCUGGCUGAGGUCUGUGGCUGCGGCAGCUUUCUUCAAUCCAGCUCUUACCGAGGUGUUCUGGAAAAAGACGGAGGAGUUGCCAUCCAUUUGUCCAGGUCCACAAAGCAACACUGUCCGGUCACAGGGAGGUAAGAAGGGAAGGAGCUGAGGGUCGAGCCCAACCUCAGCCUGAGCCGCAGCCACAGGUACAUCGCACGGGCUUUGUGGCCUACAGAUGGAAUAUGGAGGGACUGUCCUCCAGGCAACAAUAUGAGAACCGAGGAAAGAAGAGACCCACAGAAGGGCACCGGAAGAAGUUGAAAUGGCGAUAGGGCAGAAACUAAAGGAGAAGAAUUUGGUUCCUUUUCUUACUUUUGAUAUUUUUAUUGUAGGCAGAGACUUUACAAUUUUUAUGGAGGAUCCAGCUCUUUAAUUGCUUACAGUUGAGCCUCUCGCUCCAGAGAAACUGAGUUUCAAGGGAAGGAGGGAAGGACUGAGGGUACCAUUUGAUGGGAGAACAUCUUCCCGGAGCAGCAGUCCAUGCACUGCAGAGGAAGUCUCUGCCCGCCGAGACCUCUGCUUAAGGAGCCUGCAGGUGUCAGCGGCUGUUCCUUAUCUCAGAGGACUCUUACGCCUCUCUGGAACCCUGAGCAAAGAGACAAAGGCAGGAGGGGUGGGGAGAGAGGGGGAGGGUCAUGCGUUAGGGUGACAGUGCGGGGCAGCCAGGAAACCUAAGGUGAAGGACUGCAGGGAGACUCCAGGCUUCCCCAGGGAAGGACACAGCUACUGGGCUGUUCCCGCUGCAGACCAUGGAGUGCUUCUGUGCCACCCAGCCCUGUACUCAGAGGCCCUCAGGUCCUGGGAGCAGCUGGGGCCGGAAUCCCCCGAGACGGAAGCCUGGUCCUCAUUCCUCGAACACCUCUCUGGGGGCUGCCAGCUGCCUGCAGCCUCACCCACUAUCCUGCUCAGAAGGCUGGCUUUGCUCCAUUCUCCCCAGCCUGCACCCCGACACCAGCUGGGCUUUGGCAUCAGCCUCCUGGGCCUCUGACUGCAGGACAGCUGCUGAGCGGCAUCUUGCUGACCGAGGUUCAGCCCAGCUCAGCCCACUUUUGAUGGUCAGGCUCAGGCGGAAGAAGCAAGACCAACUAGAAACAGGAACUCCAGAAAACAAGCCUGCUGUGUGUCUACCUGGUAUGACCUAGAGGGAAAAGGUAAAAACAAAAGCAAAGGAAAGAGAAUAAAUUUAAUUUCAAUGAUACCAAGAGCUUACUUAUUUCUUAUGAAGUUCUAGCUUGUGUAUAGAGUAUCUUUAAAUUUUGUGGACCAUGUCAUUUGUUAGUUAAUUUCCUCCUUGCUGGGACACAAUACCCAACACCUACAAUUUAAAGGAGGAGAGGGUUGUUGUGGCUUACAGUUUGUGGGGGUUUUAGUCCAUAGUUGGCCAGCUGCAAAGCAGGAUGGGAUGGUAGAAGGGCCUGGCUGGGGGAGAGCUGCUCAUGGCAUGGUGAACAGGGAGCCAAGAGUCAGGGGAGGAGCUGGGAAGGGAGAGAAGCCACCCAGGCCACGCCUGCCGUGAUGCCUCUUCCACCAGGCCCCGCCUCUGCAUAGCAAGUCAGCUGUAAUGUUGUCAGGAUGCAGUCACCUUCUGAAGGCUCCGCCUAGCAGUGCAGGAGGUUCUUGGGGGGCAUCUAGAUGUAAACCCUGAUGUCACUGUUAACGGUUUUCCGUAGUACUAAGCAGGCAGAAUAAUGAAAAUAACAACGAUCCUAGGUUUUUCCUUGCCCCAAAAUUCUUAAGUUCAAAUAUGAAAAUUGGGCUGGACAGUGGGGCAAAUUACUGAUUCAAGAAACCAGGAUGAAAAGCAUGAAGCCAGGGCCGGGGAUUUAGCUCAGUGGUUCCCCCGCCUGCCCUGCAAGCACAAGGUCCCGAGUUCGAUCUCCGGCACCAAAAAAAAAAAAGCAUGAAGCCAUGUUGCCAAAAAAUUGGCUAUAGACAGGGAUCUUUCCUAAAAACUUGUUUGUGCUGGCAGGAAAUGGAAAUGUUCGUUUGUAGAAAUAUUAUUCACUCAUCUCAGAUACACCCAUGCAAUUAAAAUUUGCAGAACUAUUUAAAGAGAACAAGAUGAAUCUGUAUGUUGAUAGGGUGGAGUAAUCCAGAUUUUGAUAAAUUCAGAAAGCAUAACACACAAAUGUUCCCGGUGUGUAUAUAUUUGUGUGUCUACACACGUUUAUGUCUGUAUGCAUUAGUAGAUGUGCAUUUGUGCAUACAUACACCUGCCUGUGGGUGCACGUGUGUUACACAGAGAGAGAUAUGGGAUAUGUGAUGUGCAUGAGAAUUUUCCAAGAAAUAUAUUGGAAACCAUGGGUGGCGGUCAUCUCUGGGAAAUGAAACUGAAUAUGAGGAAAGGAGACUCAUGGGUCAUUGUAAACCCUUCGUGCUAUUUGGAUUUGUUUUCUAUGUGCAUGAAAAUAUUAUUUUCAUCACAAAAAAUCCAUGAAACUCCACUUAGCUAAUGAAUGCAUACAGAAAAAGAAAAAUUGCCUGCAUAGAUACAUAGAUUUCAGAAGCCCUAAAUUUUGUGCUGCAUUGUAGAAAAAAGAAAAAUAAAUAUAACAAGUGUCCAGAGGAUGAAUUACCACGCUGGCAAGUGUCGCAUAUCCAUGAAUAAGCGAUUCAUGCUCAGAGGCCUGAGAUCCAUAAAAGCAGCCUUCCACACAGCUGGGUACAGGCCGGGGAAGCAUGUCUGGGCCGGGUUUACGGGCAGCACCAGCAUCUUUCUCCUCCUGAGCUGCUCAGCUGCUGCCUCAAGGUCAGGCCGCCCAGGUGAAAGGAAACGUUAGCAUUGAGACCUGCUUCCCGUGGAGGUGGAAGCGGCGAAGACAUUUGGCUCCGCAGAAACCUUCCACCUUUCAGGACGGUGCGACGCUGCCCAGGCCCCAAGCUCUUGUCAGACUUUGAAAUGGCUCUCCGAGGCCGACCCUGACCUAGAAAACCACACUGAACACUGCCCGGGAUCUGGAGGGAUCUUGUGCUAUUAUUUAAAAAUGAAGACGUCUCCCUUCUGCUGUGGGAAUGCAAACGAUCUUUCCUAAUGACAUUUAAUCUACGUGGCAUUAACACUUUCCUGCGUGAGAGUGGUGGAAAAGCAGCUUCCUCACGGAAGUCCUGGGGGUGGUGGAAAGUUGGGUGCUUAGUGGGUCGUUUUUUUAAAACACAUUCUGUGUUGUUCUAGGCAGACCCAAGCAACCACGGCCAGGGCAAGAACAAGAACUGAGAAAGAACUGGAGCUUUUACAUUGAUGCAUGGCUCAGGCAUACCUGGGCAGAGUUUCCUACACAGCAAGGACACCUUUCAGCUGGAGGUGCUGGCACAUGCCUACGAUUUCAGCAUCUCAGAGACUUGGGCAGGAGAAUCAUAUGUUUUAGUUCAGCCUGGGCAACUGAAUGACUUAGCCAGUGCUAUCUCAAAAUAUGUAGUUCAGUAUGAAGGUCCUGGGUUCAAUUGCCAACAUCAUAUGUAUGCACAAAAAAGCCUUUUAUUUUUAAAUGAUGUACAAUUGUGCAUUGUGUAAAGAUGUUUUGGUCAAUGACCAGCCAUACAGACAACAGGUGUGUGAUUGGCUGCCUGUAAGUCACUCUGCAAUGUUCACGCAAGGAACGGGUUGUCCAGUGAUGGCAUUCUCAGGAGGUAUCUGCUGUAAGCAUGACAGUAAAUUAUUUAUACACAGAUCCUUUUUAUCAACGCAAAGUAGAGAUGUUCUCUACUUUGUUAAAUAUAUGCAAAGGCAGCAGACACUCUUCCCCUUCAGACCUCAGUGCUUCUUGUUGAAGUGAUAUUGUCCUAAGAAGCCAUUCUUCCGGAUCACUUUGAAUGUUUUUUUUUUUUGGUACCGGGAAUGGAACUUGGGUCCUUGUGCUUGCGCAGGAGGCAGCGAAACUGCUGAGCUAAAUCCCCGACCCCACUUUGAAUUUUUAAUGAAAUUCUUAAUGAAAUUGUUUGAUGAACCAAAAUGCAUGGUAUCUGGCAUUGUCACUCAGGGAACAAUUGUGUAUGCCAGGAUAGUCAAACUUGUCAUUCUGACUGGUAUUGAUCUUAUUUGCUGCUGUCAAAUUGACCCUUGCCCUCUCCACAAUGACUUCAGGAAACACAUUACUGCCUGCCCCCAGCAUCAUGAACACCCAAGCCAAAGAACUUUGUCAGCAAGUUGAAUCCACCCAGGAUCUGAAGGCAUUGUCAUUUGUUUGCUUUUUACAUUCUACAAACUUCUAUCAUCCUCCCCAUUACAGGCAGUUGAGAAGGUUGUAAAAAGCUCAGCAAAUUCUCCAAAGGUGUCCUGUUCUUGCAAGGUCAAACUGGUGAUAUCUCCAUUUCUUCUGAUUUUUAGGGAUUUUCCUCUUUUUUUUUUUUGUUUGUUGUUGUUGCAGUCCUUCUCCAAUAAACACCUUCUGGAACAAAGAACA